AUUCAACCCUCUCGAAGUUAGCCGAGUUAGCCGACAUGCUGCGGACUCGGUUCUUGGCUACUUCCGGACUGAGUAUACCAUUCUCUUUCGGUUGGUUUGGUCCAAGUCCGCGAAUUCCGUUUGACAUAAACGCGAACCGAUCGAAAGGGUAAGAGAAGCAAAUCGAGAGAAAGACAGAGAGACAGAGAGAAAGAGAGAAGAGAGCGAGAAGCUUGGCGACAGACAGCGAGAAGUUGGUAACUUAACUGGCCUAAAUGGGUUUAACUCGAUGUGAUUUUGCUGGUGAACCACUAAAUUGAACGAAUACGAACUAAACCGAACUCAACUAAGCUAAUCAUAUCACAUUACUAGCGUUAUUAGCCGAGCGACGAUAUAAGUGAAGGUCCGGUGAUGGCUCGCUGCAGUACCGGGUCGCCUCCUGCACUGACCCUCCGCGCGUCUCUCCUUCCAUUUUUGGGGAAUAUUUGAUUUCUUUUUUCUUUCUUUUUUUUCUUUCUUUUUCUCUUUUUUUUUUUCCCCGAUCCACCUACGACAACUAUCGGAAAAUCAUUCUCUAUAUCGAUCAAAAAAAAAAUACUGACUAACAUUUGGAUCAUCUCGACAGAUACAAAGAAACAGAAAGGGAGAGAGAGAGAGAGAGAGAGGGAGAGAGAGAGAGGGACAUACGUACAGUCAGAUCUUCCUUCAAAGAUCUUCAUACUUGUGAGCAACUUCGUGCGUUUCGCGCCAACUCGAAAUCAGCCGAACAUGGCCGAAGGUAUCUACGUUACAAGGAACGGAUAUAUAUGUAUGUCGGAUACACACGAGUGAUUUAUUCAUAUAUAUUGUACAUAUAUUCUACGUAUUAUAUGCGGUUCUAUAUGAUAAAAAGGAAAUAUGGUUGUUGUGAAAAAAGAUGGUAAACAUUUAUAAAUUUCGAUUGAGAAAUGCACGAUUAGGGUAUGUCGACCGGGCUAUAGUAUAACUAUGUACCCGCAGUGCGCACACUGUUAGGAUCGACCAAUUGAGCCUGUUAACGUCAAUUGAUCUAAAUUGCUUCAAUUGGACAUAAUUGCGCGAAGGCGACGGGGAACCUCCGCUGUUACUACUCACCAACCAUAUCCACGUUUAUCUCUGCACGCAAAUAUCUUUUCGUCUCGAAUUUUAACGUAUCUAUCUCUUUCUUUCUUUCUCUUUCUCUCGUACAGACAGGACAUUCUAUACUCACAGUUUUUUUCCUAUUUCUCUAUGACUUUUUUUCUUAUUUCUUUUUUUUUAUUUCAUGCUUC